rnacentral:lncRNA from 10 species
UUUGUUGUGGCCGCUCCACAUUUCCAGGAUGGUCUCCACCCAGAAUUUGAUUUGAACGUUGAGACCACAUAAUAGGGUUUUCUGGAGAGAGCAGGGCCGGCUUCUCAAGCUGGUCUGAAAAUGAAAGACAGGGAAGAGAAAGGAGAAAGGAGACUGGUCUGGGGAUUGUAUGGUGAUUAGCGGUUAGGUUUGGGCGAGGGUUCCGUGUGGGCAGGGGCUUACAUGGUUUGAACCUUCUGCUGCAGCCAAGCGGGAGAGCAUCCAGACUUUCUUAUCAGCUUGCCCAGAUGUGGGGCAGAAGGGGAAGAGCGAGGGAUGGGGCUUAAAAAAAAAAGCUGUCAGCAGUUAAAGAGCAAAAAAUGGAG